AGGGAACAAGUCAAGCAUACAGACCAGUUACACAAUCUGGGCGACCCUUGUCUGGAGUCAUACGUCCUGGAACACAAUCCGGCAGGCCUGGUACUAUGGAACAAGCCAUACGUACACGUACAGCUUACACUUCUAGACCUAUAACAAGUUCAUCUGGUAGAUUUGUCCGUUUGGGAACAGCAUCAAUGCUGUCUCAACCUGAUGGUCCUUUUAUAAAUUUUGCAAGACUUAAUAUAGCAAAAUAUGCAUCACAGCCCCAAGUAGCAAAG